rnacentral:rRNA from 1 species
AGCGUAGGCGGACUUUUAAGUGGGAUGUGAAAUACCCGGGCUUAACCUGGGUGCUGCAUUCCAAACUGGAAGUCUAGAGUACAGGAGGGGAAAGUGGAAUUCCUAGUGUAGCGGUGAAAUGCGUAGAGAUUAGGAAGAACACCAGUGGCGAAGGCGACUUCUGGACUGUAACUGACGCUGAGGCUCGAAAGCGUGGGGAGGCGAACA